CUCGACCCCAGGUUUUCGAAUGGCGUAGGCGAGACGGUCCCGUCCGACCCGUCUCGUAACACGGACCAAGGAGUCUAACGCGCGCGCGAGCGAGAGGGCGAGAGGCCCAUCCGCGCAACGAAAGCGAAUGGCGGGACGCUCUCCCGCAGGGGGGCGGCGCCGCCGGCCGGACGUCCUCGAGGCGGACCGAGCCGGAGCGCUCGCGUCGGGACCCGAAAGGUGGUGAUCUAUCCGUGCGCGCGGCGAAGCCGGGGAAACCCCGGUGGAGGCCCGUCGACGGUACUGACGUACAAAUCGUUCGUCCGACGUGCGAAUAGGGGCGAAAGACCAAUCGAACCUCCUAGUAGCUGGUUUCCGCCGAAAUUUCCCUCAGGAUAGCGGCCAUCGCGGAAACGUUUUGACCGGUAGAGCGAAC
rnacentral:rRNA from 1 species